rnacentral:rRNA from 1 species
UGCAGUCGAACGGUGAAGGCGGAGCUUGCUCUGCUGGAUCAGUGGCGAACGGGUGAGUAACACGUGAGCAAUCUGCCCCUGACUCUGGGAUAAGCGCUGGAAACGGCGUCUAAUACUGGAUACGAGCUGCGAAGGCAUCUUCAGCAGCUGGAAAGAAUUUCGGUCAGGGAUGAGCUCGCGGCCUAUCAGCUUGUUGGUGAGGUAAUGGCUCACCAAGGCGUCGACGGGUAGCCGGCCUGAGAGGGUGACCGGCCACACUGGGACUGAGACACGGCCCAGACUCCUACGGGAGGCAGCAGUGGGGAAUAUUGCACAAUGGGCGAAAGCCUGAUGCAGCAACGCCGCGUGAGGGACGACGGCCUUCGGGUUGUAAACCUCUUUUAGCAGGGAAGAAGCGAAAGUGACGGUACCUGCAGAAAAAGCGCCGGCUAACUACGUGCCAGCAGCCGCGGUAAUACGUAGGGCGCAAGCGUUAUCCGGAAUUAUUGGGCGUAAAGAGCUCGUAGGCGGUUUGUCGCGUCUGCUGUGAAACCCCGAGGCUCAACCUCGGGCCUGCAGUGGGUACGGGCAGACUAGAGUGCGGUAGAGGAGAUUGGAAUUCCUGGUGUAGCGGUGGAAUGCGCAGAUAUCAGGAGGAACACCGAUGGCGAAGGCAGAUCUCUGGGCCGUAACUGACGCUGAGGAGCGAAAGGGUGGGGAGCAAACAGGCUUAGAUACCCUGGUAGUCCACCCCGUAAACGUUGGGAACUAGUUGUGGGGUCCAUUCCACGGAUUCCGUGACGCAGCUAACGCAUUAAGUUCCCCGCCUGGGGAGUACGGCCGCAAGGCUAAAACUCAAAGGAAUUGACGGGGACCCGCACAAGCGGCGGAGCAUGCGGAUUAAUUCGAUGCAACGCGAAGAACCUUACCAAGGCUUGACAUAUACGAGAACGGGCCAGAAAUGGUCAACUCUUUGGACACUCGUAAACAGGUGGUGCAUGGUUGUCGUCAGCUCGUGUCGUGAGAUGUUGGGUUAAGUCCCGCAACGAGCGCAACCCUCGUUCUAUGUUGCCAGCACGUCAUGGUGGGAACUCAUGGAAUACUGCCGGGGUCAACUCGGAGGAAGGUGAGGAUGACGUCAAAUCAUCAUGCCCCUUAUGUCUUGGGCUUCACGCAUGCUACAAUGGGCCGGUACAAUGGGCUGCAAUACCGCAAGGUGGAACGAAUCCCAAAA